GUUUUCUUCUCUUGUCCUACAUAUGGAGAUCUAGUUGUGUAUAGAAGUGAAGAAACAUUGUUUUUCAUUUGGAUUCUGUCUGUUUAAGGAGGUUUCACUGAAAUAUGAACAAAUAAAAGAAGACACGGUGCUGUAAGUAAUGAAAUUGAAUUAAAUCUACUUGACAUGCUACUGAAGAUGGAGUUUGUUAAAGAGGAGUUUAAAGAGGAGAGUGAAGACAUCAGUAUUUCAGAACCAUUCAGUCUCAAGAAUGAAGACACUGAGGAACAAAAAGAAUACUAGGGAUGCCACUGUGUGAGUUUUUGAUGGUACAAUUACGUCUAAGAAAAACAUUGUGCUGAACGGGUUUUAUGGUUACCUGCAAAUUUUCCUAUAAACCACAUAAUCAUAGCAUAAUUGACUGUUGGCAGACACAGACACCGUUUCUCAGGGAUAUAUAGACACUAAACACAGUCCUGCAAUAGCUUCACUGACAAAUAUACACAAAACAAUUGGGCUAAAUAAUUGUAGCCUUUAACUGUACAAAACUAUCAAAUUUAUAAACCAAGUGAUGCUCCAGUUUUGACGCAAACAUUUGGCGUAUGCGUACAGUCGAAAAUUCAGCCUUUCAAAGGAUAGUUCGUUUGACUGUGCGCAUUACGACUGCUAUGAGACACAACCCUAUUUCUCUUCAGUUGUUAAGACCCAUAAAAGUGGAAACACGUGACACUAUGCUAGGGUUGGUCGCUUAAAGGCGAGCUCCGUACUUUGCUACAAUUAUAUUUUAAGCAAUUUUAACCAGUGAGAACUGUAAUAGUUUUGUUUGCUAAACUGUGCUGGGAGGGCAGGAUGUCGAAACAUUUUAAAUCGUCGGCCUGUGGGGACAUUAAAUAGCACUAGGGCUGAAACGAUUAGUCGACAUUAAAAAAUGUAGACAAUAAUUUUCGUUGUCGAAUAAUUUUCUCCCUUUUUCUCCCCAAUUUGGAAUGCCCAAUUCCCAAUGCGCUUUAAGUGCUCAUGGUGGCUCGUCUCAAUCCAGGUGGCGGAGGACGAAUCUCAGUUGCCUCCACGUCUAAGACCAUCAAUCCGCGCAUCUUAUCACGUGGCUUGUUGAGCGCGUUAACGUAGAGACGUAGCAUGCGUGGAGGCUUCGUGCUAUCCUCCGCGGCAUCCACGCACAACUCACCAUGCGCCCCACCGAGAGCGAGAACCACAUUAUAGCGACCACGAAGAGGUUACCCCGUGUGACUUUACCCUCCCUAUCAACUGCAAUUUGGUUGCUUAGGAGACCUGACUUGAGUCACUCAGCACGCCCUGGAUUCAAACUCGCGAAUCCAGGGGUUGUAGUCAGCGUCUUUACUCGCUGAGCUACUCAGGCCCCCGUUUAAUCUCAUUUAACGCAACAUGAGAUCAUUUGAAACGCUUAUAAUGACACCAUAGAGCAGCACUUGAGCUCACGCUUGAUUACGGAGAAGAAAGAACAGCUCACAGUUCAGACGCACUCCAAACUUCCCAAACAGAUUAAGGUGAUGUAGAUCACAGAGUAUGAGGGAAUGAUAAUACAAAAAUGCAAAAUAAGUAAAUACAGAAGCAGUGCCGUUAGGACGUGAAAUAAAGCAGAGCCGUACCUGGCGUUCCGCAUGAGCAAAACUUGCCUGUCAGAGUGUCUAAAAAGGGAACACUCCGGCGUUAUAUACUGUAUUUAACACAUCCUUUAUUAAAGUUCAAAUAAUAAGGAAGCGGGUUGUAUAAAUAAGCACAAACUCUGAAACUGCCAUUUCUCUGUGCGGUCAGAGUCGCAGUUAUGAGUCACGUGAAAAACAGUGCGAGAGUGUUUCAAACUUCUCCUGGCUGAUACACUGUCUCUCGCUGAGACGCUCAUCACACGUGCACACUUGCUGCAGCUAGAUUAUAAUAUGAUUGCCCGCGACGUAGUAGAUCAUCAUAAUGUGUUACAGUGUGUAUCUUAUCGUGAAGAAAAUUUGUGAAUAGAGAGUUUGUUUUUUGUGAGUUAAAGAUGGAUCGAAAUCAAGUGAACAAAAAGCUGAGAGGGUGUAGUUUUAGCCCAUUAUACAAUGCAAAAAAAAAAUUGGUUUUAUAUUGGUAUUGGUUUGUUUUCCAAUAUAAAUAUCUAAAAAUCCUUACGUACAUUUACUGUAGGAGCUAUACUGCAGAAUAAUUUUUUUCUGAGAAUGUUGAAUAUAAUUUAAUAUUUAAAUAUUUAAAAAUACUUAAAAUCCUUAAAACAAGAUACAUUUACCUGAGAAGCAACACAGAAGAUAUGUAGACUUGUUUUCAGAGAAUGUAUCUUGAAUACAAGUAUAUUUUGUCUUUACUGCACUGGCAGAAGUAUGAACAAGGGAAAAAAUACACUUGUAUACAAAAUACACUUAUAUUCAAGAUACAUUCUCUGAAAGCAAGUCUAAAUAUCUUCUGUCUUCUGAAGUAAAUGUAUCUUGUAAAGAUUUUUAGAUCAUAUUAAAUGGAAGACAAGACAAAAACACUUUUGCAUUGAUUUUUUAAAUGAAUUAAACAAUAGAAAUCCAAGUAUAUUUUUUCCACUUUAAUUCAGUGAAUAUAACUUGGAGGUAUUUUUUAAAAAUGACUUUGUCCUCGUUAUUGUUAGUAAACACAUUUAAUACAGCCUUUUAAGUCGAGGCACAAGCUGAAUAGUCGGUUAAGAGCUAAUGAUUAAUCAUUGCAAGGAAUAAAGCUGAGUUGUGCUGGGAAGGACCACAACAUCAUGGUUUUUCCAGACUUUGCCAGACCGACUCAAGCGAAGCGGGACAGAUUCAAAGAGUGUAAACAAUUACUGCACCAACAGAAGGUAAGCUUUGCACUGCCCUAUCCGGAUAAGCAGAGAAUUGACAGCAAGGAUGGGCGUAAGACUUUACAUGGCCACAACAAGCUAUGGCCUUCAUUAAAUCAAUUGAGUCAGUGGUUAACUUUGCCUGCACUCAAUCAUCAACAACACAGACUUCACAUCACGCAUUUAGCUGAUGCUUCCUGAGGGUUUGUUGUUAUGCUGUCUGCCCACUGGCUCCUGCUUGACUCUUUUAUGUUUCCUUUUUUUUUUUCUCCCUUUGUUAACUUGCUGUAGAGCUCAUUUGCUCAUGUUGUGGGUUCGAUUUUAUUGUUUACUGGGGCCUGUUUUUAUUUUAUUUUUAAUUUUAUUGAGCAUAUUAAUGUACAAUUUAAUGGCAUGGUUUAUGUUAAUAAAAAAGAAAAAUAAUUAUAAUAAUAUAUGGUCUUACAUAAGUACACACAUAUACAGAGAAUAAAAUAAUAAUAAAUAUAUAUAUAUACACACACACACACACACACACACAUAUAUAUAUAUAUAAUAUAUAUAUAUAUACACACACAUAUACAUACAUACAUACAUACACAUACAUCUGUAAUAAACAUACAACUCUAAACUAUAUCUCUCUCUCCACAGACCCACUGCGAGAGCCCCCCAAAAACAUCAAAUAUCUACCCCAUUUCCCAAUAAAAGAAUCCCAUAUCCCCAGCCUUCUACAUGUUACCUCUUCGAAGGCUGCCACCCUUCCCAUCUCCUCGCACCACUCCCGAAUUGAGGGUGCUCCCACCGACUUCAAACCCCUUAAAACAAUCUGCCUGCCUAUCAUUGCACUGGUGAGGACCCAAUUGUUUAUGUAUUUGUCACCUACGUCUAUGACCGCCCCAUCACCCAAAACACAGAGUCUGGGGCAAAACAAAAUCCGAAUGCCCAACACGUCACACAGAACACUCUGUACCUUCAACCAAAAUUCCUGAAUCUCAUCGCACCACCAAAAAACAUGGGUUGUGUCUCCAUCCUCCGAUUGGCAUCGCCAGCAGGUGGGUGUGUCUUUAAGACCAAGCCUAUACAAUUUAGAGGGGGUCCAAUAGAACCAAUGUAAAAUCUUGAAUUGUAUAAGGUGCACCCUUGCAUCUUUCGAUGUAGUUUUUAUGUUUUUUAAAAUCCUAGCCCAUUCUCUCUCCAGUCCAGGUUUAAAUCUUUCUCACAUAAUCUCUUGAGAGUGGUUGAGACUCCAUCCCCCAGACUCUGAAUUAAUAAGGAGUAAUACACUGUUGCCUCAUGGCCCUUUCCAAAAGCGGAAAUCACCUCUCCUAGAGUAUCUGCUGCUUUAGGGGGGUGUAUGCUAUUCCCAAAAAUAGUACAAAGCCAAUGGCGUAACAGAAGAUACCUAAAAAACUGAGAUCUGGGGAUCCCAAAAUAUUGAACCAGAUUUUCAAAGGAUCUCAUCACACCGCUCAUAAAAAAUCACAGAGUGAAUUAACCCUUCUCGCAAUCCACUCUGACCAACAAAAAGGGGACUUAUUAAUGCAUAGUUUGGGGUUUAGCCAUAGGCUCGAGGCAACAUUUAGAUAAAUAUCUGAAUUAAACACUCUGGACACUUUUGUCCGUACUGAGUGCAAAUGUGAAAUAAUGGGGUGUGAUUUAACUUCUCUAUUUAGUUUGAUGGAAAGGCUUUGCAAUGGCAAAAUAGGGGCAAGAAGUUCUUGUUCAAUGCAGAACCAGGGAGGGGUUCUUUCAGGUGGAAGCGACCAAUGAGCCAAAUGUCU